UAGAAAACAAUGUGACUGCACAUAUAAAUGU
rnacentral:piRNA from 1 species